AGCAGCCUCCGGGCAACGAUCACUGUGGGUUCUAUGUAAUGCAUUAUAUGCACUGCUACACCGGCGAUUGCAGAAGCGCCGAAAUGAACACUGAGUUGGAUUCACGUGAAUUGCUCAUGGGCGAGCUAGUAGCACUUCAAGAAGAACUAGCUGGAUGGCUUGUGGACUACGUGGUGAAGCCAGGAUCUGAGUACAGCAUAAUCUAGGUGUAAUGUCUAGAUCGUAUCGUUCUUGUCAAGCAUUGUAAUAUAUUUGGUGUAUGGACUAGAUGUUCUUAAACUUGAUGCGUGGACUCUAUAUUUUUUAUUAUGAUGUUUGAACUCUCUCAUUUGA